AGAAAGUAGCUGAAGAAACAAAGGCCUCUGAAUCCUCUUCUGCCUUAGGGAGGAUUGAGCUCAGCUCUCAAGCCCAUUGAAUAAAGGGGUGGUGCUGCCCACAUGACAAUGCUUGGCUAAGUCCAAACUCUUCUGGAAUGCAUGUACGAUCUGCAGAAGCUCAGAGACUAGAGCAUGUGACCAGAGUCCACAAGAUGGCCUGAGGGAGGCCCCAGCCCCUCUGCUCUGCAUCGCCAGAAUCGGAAUGAAUCCGGAAGUCCUGGAUACACGGGGCCCAGGUGAGCAGGCUGUUCGUGCUCUAGUCGCUGGGCGCAUUCUUGGUGUUCGGCUCUUCUGCUUUCUAGGAGGAGGCAGCACACGAUGAAGCCAAUCAGGUGUUCCCAGACAGAGGCCCCACAUGGCACCCGGCUGCACCUCACCUCAAGGUCUUCCCCGGCCUGGGGUACCUGGAGAACGGGACCCUGAAGUCUUGACUGACCUCUGCCUAGAGUGUUCCGAAUGCAGUUACUGGCAUCAGCUCUCCCAGCUCCCGUGACAGGUGCUUCCCCUUGUGCAUACGGGUAAAGAAUGAAGACGCAGUAAACAACUGUUCCCAGAUACCAACCCUUGAUUAUUUCCUUCGGGCUGGUCAAGGCCUGGGAGGGAGCAUGCGCAGGGCCCCACCUGUGACAUGAAAUGCCAACCCACAGCCAGAGGAAGUCCGAGCCGUAAAC